AAAAUCUUUAAGUAACACCAUGGAAAUAGAGAACGAAUUCAUCUACGUGAUUUUGUAGUCCGUCGAUAAGACUGUAAAGGAACAUUUGUAGAGCUUGGACUUAAGGAGCCGUUCAUUGAUAGGGAAUUGCUCCGUAAAGCAGCAUUGGACUGGGAGCGUAGCAGUUGCUGUGAAGGAAGCUCCAGCGGUUGUGCACUAAGAGGAAGAGUUCCACGAUAAAAGGCGCCAUA